rnacentral:misc_RNA from 1 species
CAGGCAUUUACCUUACUAUCUGUUUUCAUCCGCAAGUCGUCAAUCAUCACUUGAUCUCUCACGACAAGAAAAGGAUGGAAGCAAGAUGUUCAUUCUUUCACACGACAAAACCGACCACCACUUGGAAGUUUUUGUUCUGUACAGUACUGGAACAUUAUCUGUUCCAUAAAUUCCUUCUAUUCAUUUGCCGACCGAUAUAUUUCAGUGCCAGCAACUCCUGUCUUUGGGUUUUCUGUACGGAUG